GGUUAAGUGAAUAAGGGCGCACGGUGGAUGCCUUGGCACUAGGAGCCGAUGAAGGACGGGACUAACACCGAUAUGCUUCGGGGAGCUGUAAGUAAGCUUUGAUCCGGAGAUUUCCGAAUGG
rnacentral:rRNA from 1 species